UCCGUAGGCGGUGUGGCAAGUCGGAAGUGAAAUCUCUGGGCUUAACCCAGAGGCUGCUCCCGAAACUGCCGUGCUAGAGUGUGAGAGAGGCGAGUGGAAUUACGGGUGUAGCGGUGAAAUGCGUAGAUAUCCGUAGGAACAUCCGAGGCGAAGGCGGCUCGCUGGAUCACAACUGACGCUGAGGGACGAAAGCUAGGGGAGCAAACAGGAUUAGAUACCCUGGUAGUCCUAGCCCUAAACCAUCAGGACUUGGGGUUUGCCCUGUACGGGGCAAGUCCCGUAGCUAACGCGUUAAGUCCUGCGCCUGGGGAGUACGGUCGCAAGGCUGAA
rnacentral:rRNA from 1 species